rnacentral:rRNA from 1 species
GAUGAACGCUGGCGGCGUGCCUAAUACAUGCAAGUCGAGCGAACAGACGAGGAGCUUGCUCCUCUGACGUUAGCGGCGGACGGGUGAGUAACACGUGGAUAACCUACCUAUAAGACUGGGAUAACUUCGGGAAACCGGAGCUAAUACCGGAUAAUAUAUUGAACCGCAUGGUUCAAUAGUGAAAGACGGUUUUGCUGUCACUUAUAGAUGGAUCCGCGCCGCAUUAGCUAGUUGGUAAGGUAACGGCUUACCAAGGCAACGAUGCGUAGCCGACCUGAGAGGGUGGUCGGCCACACUGGAACUGAGACACGGUCCAGACUCCUACGGGAGGCAGCAGUAGGGAAUCUUCCGCAAUGGGCGAGAGCCUGACGGAGCAACGCCGCGUGAGUGAUGAAGGUCUUCGGAUCGUAAAACUCUGUUAUUGGGGAAGAACAAAUGUGUAAGUAACUAUGCACGUCUUGACGGUACCUAAUCAGAAAGCCACGGCUAACUACGUG